rnacentral:rRNA from 1 species
UACGAAGGGGGCUAGCGUUGCUCGGAAUCACUGGGCGUAAAGCGCACGUAGGCGGAUGUGUCAGUCAGGGGUGAAAUCCCGGAGCUCAACUUCGGAACUGCCUUUGAUACUGGCGGCCUUGAGUCCGGGAGAGGUGAGUGGAACUGCGAGUGUAGAGGUGAAAUUCGUAGAUAUUCGCAAGAACACCAGUGGCGAAGGCGGCUCACUGGCCCGGUACUGACGCUGAGGUGCGAAAGCGUGGGGAGCAAACAGG